rnacentral:rRNA from 1 species
GGACACACUGGGACUGAGACACGGCCCAGACUCCUACGGGAGGCAGCAGUGGGGAAUUGUUCGCAAUGGGCGCAAGCCUGACGACGCAACGCCGCGUGGAGGAUGAAGACCUUCGGGUCGUAAACUCCUUUCGAUCGAGACGAAUGGCUUCCGGGUGAACAAUCCGGGAGAGUGACGGUACCGAGAGAAGAAGCCCCGGCUAACUCCGUGCCAGCAGCCGCGGUAAUACGGGGGGGGCAAGCGUUGUUCGGAAUUACUGGGCGUAAAGGGCUCGUAGGUGGCCAACUAAGUCAGACGUGAAAUCCCUCAGCUUAACUGGGGAACUGCGUCUGAUACUGGAUGGCUUGAGAUUGGGAGAGGGAUGCGGAAUUCCAGGUGUAGCGGUGAAAUGCGUAGAUAUCUGGAGGAACACCGGUGGCGAAGGCGGCAUCCUGGACCAACACUGACACUGAGGAGCGAAAGCCAGGGGAGCAAACGGGAUUAGAUACCCCGGUAGUCCUGGCCCUAAACGAUGAAUGCUUGGUGUGGCGGGUAUCGAUCCCUGCCGUGCCGAAGCUAACGCAUUAAGCAUUCCG